AGCAUUGGUAUGCGUUCCCCAGCGUGUUCUCAGAAAAGCGGAUCUGAAGCAGCAAGAGAAACUCCACCUAAAGUGGGAGCAACACCAGAAAGAGAAGUCAUAUGCAUUUCUUUGAAAAAAGAUCCAAAACUUGGACUGGGUAUAAUGAUAGUUGGAGAGGACACAGUGGGGCGUUACGACUUGGGCAUCUUCGUUGCCUCCAUUGUGCCUGGUGGGCCU
rnacentral:lncRNA from 1 species